rnacentral:rRNA from 1 species
UACGUAGGGGGGCAAGCGUUGUCCGGAUUUAUUGGGCGUAAAGAGCGUGUAGGCGGCUUUUACAGGUCCGUUGUGAAAACUCGAGGCUCAACCUCGAGACGCCGGUGGAAACCGUAAGGCUAGAGUCCGGAAGAGGCGAGUGGAAUUCCGGGUGUAGCGGUGAAAUGCGUAGAUAUCCGGAGGAACACCGGUGGCGAAGGCGGCAUCCUGGACCGGUAUUGACGCUGAGGCGCGAAAGCUAGGGGAGCAAACGGGG